ensembl:lncRNA
GUGGGGGCAAAACAGCUGACAAUCACUUACAGAGAAACAGUACAUACACCGUUAUUAAAGAUAUACAUUAUUAUACAACAUUAAAUGUUACUGAUUUUGAGCCAUUACACUGGAGAAGGACUUAUGUCAUUAGUUUUUACAAGAAUUCCUGUAUAGUGACUGUUACAAGUUACACGUAUAAAAUGAGGCUUCAGUUAAUCUUGUUCAUAAUAAAGUAUCCACUCUCAUUACAGUUCUCCACUGAAAUAUACUUCGUCUUAUUCUGACCACCUGGUGCAUCAUUUGAAGGCAGGCCUUACCUUCAGUGGCAAAAUGGCUGACGCGUCCAGUUCAUUAAGAAAUUUCAGUUUGCACACCACGUCUGACUCCUACAACGAGGAUAAUAGAGACCUGGCCAGAGUCAUACGGGAGAAGUGCGAGGUAAAGUGGACUUUGUUCACCUGUCAUUUGUCGAAAUGGCAGGUUUCACAUUGUAAAGUGUUCAUUUUGUUCACCUGUCAUAUGUUGACACAGCAGGUGUCACAUUGUAAAGUGUUCAUUAGUUAAUUUUGUGACUGAGUGACAUCCAGCCUUUCC